rnacentral:rRNA from 1 species
AGAGUUUGAUCCUGGCUCAGGAUAAACGCUGGCGGCGCACAUAAGACAUGCAAGUCGAACGGAAGUCGUUAUAAAAAGGAUUGAAGAUUUAUCUGAUUGAGAUUUUAUAACAAUGGCUUUAGUGGCGGACUGGUGAGUAACGCGUGAGCAACCUGCCUACUAGAGGGGAAUAACAGUGAGAAAUCAUUGCUAAUACCGCAUAUGCCAUGAACAUCACAUGAUGAAAAUGGAAAAAGAGUAAUCUGCUAGUAGAUGGGCUCGCGUCUGAUUAGAUAGUUGGUGGGGUAACGGCCUACCAAGUCGACGAUCAGUAGCCGGACUGAGAGGUUGAACGGCCACAUUGGGACUGAGAUACGGCCCAGACUCCUACGGGAGGCAGCAGUCGGGAAUAUUGCGCAAUGGAGGAAACUCUGACGCAGUGACGCCGCGUAUAGGAAGAAGGUUUUCGGAUUGUAAACUAUUGUCGUUAGGGAAGAUACAAGACAGUACCUAAGGAGGAAGCUCCGGCUAACUACGUGCCAGCAGCCGCGGUAAUACGUAGGGAGCAAGCGUUAUCCGGAUUUAUUGGGUGUAAAGGGUGCGUAGACGGGACAACAAGUUAGUUGUGAAAUCCCUCGGCUUAACUGAGGAACUGCAACUAAAACUAUUGUUCUUGAGUGUUGGAGAGGAAAGUGGAAUUCCUAGUGUAGCGGUGAAAUGCGUAGAUAUUAGGAGGAACACCGGUGGCGAAGGCGACUUUCUGGACAAUAACUGACGUUGAGGCACGAAAGUGUGGGGAGCAAACAGGAUUAGAUACCCUGGUAGUCCACACCGUAAACGAUGGAUACUAGGUGUAGGAAAUGAUUUCAUUUUCUGUGCCGUCGCAAACGCAAUAAGUAUCCCACCUGGGGAGUACGGCCGCAAGGUUGAAACUCAAAGGAAUUGACGGGGGCCCGCACAAGCAGUGGAGUAUGUGGU